AUCGGAAGUCCAAAGGGUUGAGUCGGUGUAUUCGCGCUUAAAAUAAUCUUCUUUCACUCGUCCCUCUCGCUUCUCUCCAAACACCGCCGGAGACAUACAUGUUUCUUUGAAGAAGAGGGUUUUAUUUGCAGGCAGCAUCUUCCUCCCUUUUUUCUUCCAUCGACAACCACCGUUUCCUCUUUUUUCAUUCUCCGGCGUUGAACAGUCCUCUGCGUUUCCCUCUUCCGUUGUUAGUUGUAGUGUGACGUCUGGUUCCGAUGUCAGUUUGGUUCACCGUCAUCAUCGAUCAAGAAAAAGAGUCCAGGUCUUUCUCCUCUGAUUUCUAGGUCACGUAAUAGAAGCACCCAUCAAGUGAAGAUGAUUGGUCAAGCAACGGAUUUUAGAGAUUGAAGUUUGAUUUUUGGGGGCAUAAGGUCAAAAUGCUUGAAUCUCAAUCAAUUGAGGAUACUUCCAAGAGGACAUCAAUGCCUCAUGGUGUGGCCUUUGGUGGAUUGAAAUGUUGAAAACAAGUGGUCAAGAUAAAGAGGGUGUUGGUGUUUGCUUUCAUUUCUCUUAUGAGGAAUCUCUUCAUUCAGCUGUGAUGCUUGCUCCAAUUAUGUUAAGAAAGUGUCGAUUUCAUUUCAUUCUUUCUGGUGAUCUGUACAAGAAAUGGGAUCAGAGUAAUGGUGCAAUGGAUCCAAAGGUUCCCAAAGAAUUUGUUUCAGUCCAUAAAGAGUAGGAUCUUAUUCAUACAAUUCAACAUACGCAAAGAGGCAGUAUGUUGUCAAAAACAAUUGGGAGAACAGGCUAAAAGGUUUACAAAAAUUAGAGAAAAGGAGGGUUUGAUCGAGAAAGAUGUGGUAUAAGGACUUGACAUCGCAUUGCCUUUUUAUGAGGGUGAUGAUAAUCCAAAUGUAUGCAUUGUGCAUGAUAUAUUGAUGACUUACUUGUUCUACAACUUUUGAUCUUGGUUAUUGCCAGUGCUUGAGUGAUCUCUCUCCAAUAUCAUUAUUCAUCAUGAAAGAUGAAUCGGCAGCUCAAUGCACAACUACUUCAAACAAAACGACUGCUUCUGUUUCCACUGGAUUCUGAUCCAAUUCAAAAAAGUGGCAAGUUUGGGCAUUUUUAGUGGGAUCUUAUUCAUACGGUUCAACAUACGCACAGAGUAGUUAAUUAACACAUCAGAGUAUAUGACUAUCAAAAGGCAAUGACUAUUUUACCCUUCCAACUUCUAUAACCCACAUAUUACGUUUAUUGCAAAUUCUUUUCAAGUUAUUUAAAAUGUGGUUUUCUUAUUUGAGUAUUUUCUUAUUGUUUUUAAGGUAAGGACUGACAGGUAAUUGUCGUUCUAUUAAGGUGAUGAUAUAUUCUUGACUUGUUCUACAACUUUUGAUCUUGGUUAUUGCCAGGGAAGUAACAACCAAUCACCCUUCUCUUUUCAUCCACCAAAACCAGAUGAUGUUGCUACAAGUGGACACCAAAGGCUAUAGAGCUUCAAAAUAAUUGCAAAUGUUGUAAGCAUCAAUCAGAUGUUCGACAACCAAAUGUUGAGUGUAAGUUGUGGGUGACAAAGGAGUAGGUUAUUGCUGAUGCAUAGACCCAUCACCUAUUGAAAGUAUACCCAUCUGUUGGAGGAGUUUCUUGCUAGCAGUUAAACAGCAUGUUCUUAUUGUCAGAUCAUCAGAAGAGGUUAUUGCUGUGAAUAACUUUCAAGACCCUCUUGUGACCAAGUUUUUCCUAGGAAAACAACUUUACAACUCUUCUGUGACAACCUUGUGACCAAGUUUUUUAUAUUUUGGUAAAAUUGACGUAUUUACCCUUUUGGCUAAUUUUAACUAAAUCUGUUAACGACAUGUAAUUCUAGGUUUGGGCAUUUUUAAUGGGUUCUUAUUCAUAAGAUUCAACAUACACAGAGAGGCAGUAUGUUAGAGUACAUGACUAUCAAAAACCAUUGGCAGGGAUGAAGUUGUGGAUGUUUGUCACUGUGAUUGCUGGAUGUAGCUUAUCCAUAGUAGUUGAUUGAAGGUUGCGAUCGUUGAAAGGAAAGAAGAAGAAGAAAUCCGAUCAUAGGGGAGAAGGAGAAGGAGGAUUGGCGGCAAAAUUAGGAUAAAUCAAGAAGAGCGCUCUGAUACCAUAAAAGCGUAUCAAAAGAUUCUGUGUCCCGUUUCUGUGUUGGUUGAUGAUAUAUAUAAGAUACAAUUUGAGAUCCUUUAUUUUACAACCUGAUAUACAUGCCUCAUCUCCAAAUAUAUUCAAAAUAUAAUACAUAUAUCCUAGUAUAAUAUUUUCAUACAACAAUAGUUAUUAUUAUAGGUUUACAAAAAUUAGAGAAAUGAAUGGUUUGAUCGAGAUAGAUGUGGUAGCAAAUGACCAUACAUUUCAAAUUAUUUAAAAAGUUGCUUUUUUAUUUAAGUAUUUUGUCAUUGUUUUUAGCGUAAGUACUUGACAGGUUGGUCUGAUGAAGUACCCAAACUCAAGUUGGAAAAUGAGGUAAACUAAACCCCUGUUACAUGUUACAUCAGACCUUUUGAAAUCCUGGGAAAGGUUGGUCUGAUAGCUUACAAACUCAAGUUACCUCAAGAACUCAACAAAUUUCGUGAUACCUUCCAUGUGUGUAAUCUUAAGAAGUGACUCUCUGAUGAGAACCUUGUUUUCCUCUUGAUGAGGUCCAGGUCAACACUAAACUUCACUUUGUGGAAUAACCAAUGGAGAUCUUGGAUCGAGAAACCAAAAGGGUCAAACAAAGUCGCACACCUAUAGUAAAGGUCUGAUGGAACUCUCGUAGAGGGUCGGAGCUUACUUGGGGACGCGAAUAUCAGAUGAAGUAGAAGUACCCACAACUGUUUAGUGGUGCUCCCUCUAGUAGUGGAACUAAAUAAUAAUAUGAAAGAAAUAAUUUCCAGAAAAAAUUCCUUUAACGGGGAGGUAAUGUGACAUCCCAAAAUCUAAGUCAGUAGGCAGUCAAUUUAUUGUGAACGACAGUGUAGUAGGACCUACGUCAUAGUACCUCAAUGAUUUUAAAUGCAAAUGAAAUCAUGUUACUCGUAAGUGCCUUCGUGAUACCUCAAAAUGAAAUGCUCAAAAAUUUGACCAUUGUCAUCAAACAGUAAGCAGUUCAAAAACCAGUGAAAUAUGAUGUCGUAAAAAUCUUUUUUGCAUUUGACCUACAUAGGGGCCAUGGAUGAUGAAAUUGGAUAAAAACAUGUUUUUAGGACUGCGUGGAUAUAAAGAACGUCCAAAACAAAGAUCGUAUGAAAAAGUUAUCCAUGUUUUAAGUUUUUAAGCAAGUAUAUACCUGCUUUACCCGGUAUCGGACACUACACAACUCAUUUUGAGGUAGUUACCCAUCUCGUAAAUGAAUUUUGAUCAUGUUUCUAAACUCAAGUUUCGGUCUAGUAUUUGAUUUUACUAUUCCAGUAUAUUUAGCUCGGAACCAAAUCAGUUUCGCAAAAACUGACGAAUAAAAACCCGAUUGACGUGAAACUUCAAACACUGUUUUACGGAGAUCCGUAUAUCGGAUUUGAAUUCUGUUUGAAUAUUUUAAAUCAUCAUAACUAUGAAAUUAUCCAAGCACUUUCGAAAUAUUUUUAUGUGCUCUGAAACUGACGUCACGUUAAUCGAGGCGACUUGUGUGCGAGAUAAAUCAAGGAGGACACCAAGGACAUGCUUGCAUGCAUGCUUAAAAGGAAGAGUCGGCAGUGUAGUAGGACCUACUGUAAAAGGAAGAGUCGGCAGUGUAGUAAGACAAUCAAUUUAUUGUGAACGACAGUGUAGUAGGACAUGCUGUAACGCCCGUAUAUCCGGGCUAGUCAAUUUAGAGACGAUAAACAUCAAAAAUGACUUUUUUGAUGGAAGAUUAUUUAGAAGGAUUAAUAUUAACUAAGUUGUAGUAUAUGUUACAAGGAUUUUGUACAUAUAAAGAAUGCCAAAAUCCGAGUUAUAACGAAUAAGUUAUGACCUGUCGAAGUUUCGCGACAGAACCGGCACGGCACAACGCGACGUAAAUAGUGAAUUUACGUUAGAGUGAUGUUUAGCCUUAGUGAUCUAAACGAAAGUCGUAUUGUUCGUUAAACCGAGAGCGUGCAUAAAACGAACGCCCAAAUCUGACUUCGUAUGAGAAAGUUAUGAUUUUUUGAAGUUUCGGCUUAGCAGUGUACAUCCCAAACUUUGAAUAUGAGAUCGAGCGAUAUUUAUCCGAAACAAUCUAAACGAGAAUUGAAGAUCUCGUCGAUAGUAGUCCAACGGUGAAAAGACAGACGAAAACGGACGUCAGUCGAAGGAGUUAUGAUUUUCGAACGGAGUUUUACUGUCCCGGCCUACUAAAAAUAAUAUAUUAAAAAUAAAGUAAAAAUUAGACGACGGAGUCUAAAUGAAAGUUGUAGAUCUUGUUCUCACCUAUGUGUCGAUAUAAAGAAUGUCGAAAACGAAGUUCGUAUGCGAAAGUUAUGAAUUUCUGAAGUUCAGAACGCGAAACCCCAAGACUGUCAGAAACCAAGAUGUAAACAGUGCCCACGACGUGGUAUGUUUUCUGACGACUCCUGGAGUCUGCCAGACCCAACUUGCGAUGACGCAUGCAAUAAAGACCCAACUUGGUAUGUUUGUUUACUUGAGAUGGAUGUUGAAUGAAUGUUUUAUACGAGCUUUUAAAAAGUUUUAAACUGUAUAUCUAAUUUAUAUCUACAAAUAUGUUGGGUAGAACAUGGGUAGAUAAAAUAGUUGGUGUGUGAUUAAAUAAUGUGAUAAGAGAUAGGUGAGGAUAUAAUGGUGAUGAUAAUUAAGUGAUGAUAGAUAGGUGAUGAAUUACGAGUCCAGGUGAUGUUGUGUCUGCAUACUUAUAUGAUGAUAGUCUAACCCUUAUUAUGAAUUACGAGUUCAGGUGAUGUUGUGGCUGCGUAAUCAUAUGAUGAUACCCUAACCCUUGCUAGACAUAUAUUGAGGGAGUGAUCCCCGAAUUAGUAUUGUCUAUGCGAUGUAGGCGAUGAUCCUUAUGAAAAGUUCUUAGGAACAAACAUAUAAGGAAAUAAGAUGUAAGGAGAUAAGAGGUAAACAUGAUAUAAGAGAUGACCUUUAGGAUAAUAUCUUUAGGGAAGAUUAAACGAAGAUAAUGAGGAUGGGUAAUUGUUUGAUAAUUAAAUAUAAUAAUUAUUUUAUUGUGGGUUGAAAACCAUAUACGCUCACCAAGCUUCCAAGCCUGAUCCACUCAGUUUUCUU